GAGUUUGAUCAUGGCUCAGAUUGAACGCUGGCGGCAUGCCUUACACAUGCAAGUCGAACGGCAGCACGGGAGCAAUCCUGGUGGCGAGUGGCGAACGGGUGAGUAAUAUAUCGGAACGUGCCCAGUCGUGGGGGAUAACGCAGCGAAAGCUGUGCUAAUACCGCAUACGAUCUCUGGAUGAAAGCGGGGGACUUGCAAGAGCCUCGCGCGAUUGGAGCGGCCGAUAUCAGAUUAGCUAGUUGGCGGGGUAAAAGCCCACCAAGGCGACGAUCUGUAGCUGGUCUGAGAGGACGACCAGCCACACUGGAACUGAGACACGGUCCAGACUCCUACGGGAGGCAGCAGUGGGGAAUUUUGGACAAUGGGCGCAAGCCUGAUCCAGCAAUGCCGCGUGCAGGAUGAAGGCCUUCGGGUUGUAAACUGCUUUUGUACGGAACGAAACGGUCUGUCCUAAUACGAUGGGCUAAUGACGGUACCGUAAGAAUAAGCACCGGCUAACUACGUGCCAACAGCCGCGGUAAUACGUAGGGUGCGAGCGUUAAUCGGAAUUACUGGGCGUAAAGCGUGCGCAGGCGGUUAUAUAAGACAGAUGUGAAAUCCCCGGGCUCAACCUGGGACCUGCAUUUGUGACUGUAUAGCUAGAGUACGGUAAAAGGGGAU
rnacentral:rRNA from 1 species